rnacentral:rRNA from 1 species
GUCUUUUUGAGUUAUUUUUAAAGUCUGACCUGCCCACUGAAUUUUUUAAAUGGCCGCAGUAUUCUAACUGUGCAAAGGUAGCAUAAUCAUUAGUCUUUUAAUUGAAGGCUGGUAUGAACGGUUGGACGAAGUAUAAGCUGUUUCAUGUAAAUUUAUAGUAGAAUUUUAUAUUUUAGUUAAAAAGCUAAAAUGUAAUUAAAAGACGAGAAGACCCUAUAAAUCUUUAUAUUUUAUGUAAUUUAAAUUUUUUUGAUUUUUUUUAUUUUUAUUAUAUCAAAUAUUUUGUUGGGGUGAUAUUAAAAUUUGAUGAACUUUUAGUUGUUUUAAGUCAUUAAUUUAUGAAUUAUUGAUCCAUUAGUAGUGAUUAUAAGAUUAAGUUACUUUAGGGAUAACAGCGUAAUUUUUUUGGAGAGUUCUUAUCGAUAAAAAAGUUUGCGACCUCGAUGUUGGAUUAAGAUAUAGAUUUAGGUGUAGUCGCUUAAAUACUGAGUCUGUUCGACUUUUAAAUUCUU